GACGAACGCUGGCGGCGUGCUUAACACAUGCAAGUCGAACGGGCCUUGUCCCCUUUUUUUUUGGGGGUGGGGUUAGUGGCGAACGGGUGAGUAACACGUGAGUAACCUGCCCCUCACUUCUGGAUAACCGCUUGAAAGGGUGGCUAAUACGGGAUGUUCUGGCCUGCUCGCAUGGGUGGGUUUGGGCAGAUUCGACCGGGUUGGGUUGUUUUGGUGGGGGAUGGGCGCGCGGCCUAUCAGCGUGUUGGUGGGGGGAUGGCCUGCCAAGGCUUUGACGGGUCGCGGGCCUGAGAGGGUGCGCGGUCACAGUGGGACAGAGACACGGCACAGACCUCUACGGGAGGCAGCAGUGGGGAAUAUUGCACAAUGGGCGCAAGCCUGAUGCAGCGACGCCGCGUGAGGGAUGGAGGCCUUGGGGUUGUGAACCUCUUUCGCCAGUGAAGAAGGUCCUGCUCUUUGUGGUGGGGUUGACGGUAGCUGGGUUAAUGAAGCGCCGGCUAACUACGUG
rnacentral:rRNA from 1 species